rnacentral:rRNA from 1 species
UACAGAGGUCCCAAGCGUUGUUCGGAUUCACUGGGCGUAAAGGGUGCGUAGGCGGUUUGAUAAGUCUGAUGUGAAAUCCCGCAGCUUAACUGCGGAACUGCAUUGGAAACUGUUUGACUAGAGGAAUGGAGGGGAGACUGGAAUACUUGGUGUAGCAGUGAAAUGCGUAGAUAUCAAGUGGAACACCGUGGCGAAGGCGGGUCUCUGGGCCGAUACUGACGCUGAGGAGCGAAAGCGUGGGGAGCGAACAGG